CAGUAGCCGCGGGAAUACGAAGGGGGCUAGCGCCGCUCGGAAUGACUGGGCGUAAAGGGCGCGUAGGCGGCGAUCAAAGUCAGGCGUGAAAUUCCUGGGCUCAACCUGGGGGCUGCGUUUGAUACGUCUGGACUAGAGUUUGGAAGAGGGUCGUGGAAUUCCCAGUGUAGAGGUGAAAUUCGUAGAUAUUGGGAAGAACACCGGUGGCGAAGGCGGCGACCUGGUCCUUGACUGACGCUGAGGCGCGAAAGCGUGGGGAGCAAACAGGAUUAGAGACCCCAGUAGUCCCUGUCUCUUAUAC
rnacentral:rRNA from 1 species